rnacentral:rRNA from 1 species
CGCCUCUUGAGAAAUAUAAGAGGUCCAGCCUGCCCAGUGACCUAGUUCAACGGCCGCGGUAUCCUAACCGUGCGAAGGUAGCGUAAUCACUUGUUCUUUAAAUAAGGACUAGUAUGAAUGGCACCACGAGGGUUUAACUGUCUCCUUUUUCUAAUCAGUGAAACUAAUCUCCCCGUGAAGAAGCUGGGAUUUUUUUAUAAGACGAGAAGACCCUAUGGAGCUUUAAACUAUUUUACACCUGCUGCCCACAAACCAACUUCCAGAAAUUAACCCUAAAGCAUAGCACUUUGAUUAAUAGUUUUUGAUUGGGGUGAUCGCGGAGUAAAAAAUAACCUCCACGACGAAAGGAUUUUUCCUGAGCCAUAAGCCACAGCUUUAAGCACUAAUAUUAUUAACGGCUAUUGACCCAAUAAUUUUGAUCAACGAACCAAGUUACCCUAGGGAUAACAGCGCAAUCCACUUCAAGAGCUCCUAUCGACAAGUGGGUUUACGACCUCGAUGUUGGAUCAGGGUAUCCUAGUGGUGCAGCCGCUACUAACGGUUCGUUUGUUCAACGAUUAAAACCCU